rnacentral:lncRNA from 1 species
GCCCUCCUCGUAGAUAAUUCCAAUUCCUUUAGAAAGAAACCGUCAUUUUUAUUGAAUGGUUGUUAGAAAGAAACAGUCGUGGAAGGUUCAAGUGCUCGCUGUUAUGGUACAGACCAACAUUAGAAUGCCGGCAGAAGAAAGAGGCUUAGGAAGGGUUGGAUAACCAAAAUAGAAGAGCAUAAAUGUUAAAAAGAUUAUGGUUCUGAAUAUUAGGACUCCUAGUCCAUGUACUUGUAGGACUUAAGAGUUUGAUUUGUAUUGUACUACAUUACCUACUUCCCUUACCCUUUGUAUUCAAUAUAUAUAUAUAUAUGAACAGCUCUGCAGAGAUGCUUUGUGGCCUUGAAAUCACUUCUCUGUUCAUGGUAUCAGACGUCCAGUACAAUCCAACUGUCCUACCACUUUCUUUUACCUCUUUCACGCUACUAUGGCUUCCCAGUCGCUUACUACCCAUUCUUCAGAUGUCUCACUUUCUUUUCCUACAACAACUGUUGCAACUACGCAAUCAAUAUCGGAUAUUUCGUCAUCUGUUACAAUUCCUCCUUUGCCUCUAUUACAACACUCUUUCCCCCUUCACUCUGUUGCUCCUAGUAUUCGACCAGGUUCAUCUAUAGGACAGAUUGGUCUGCCUUCUCUCCCACCUUAUGCUGGAAUAAUAGAACCAACAAUUCCAUCCCCUUUUCAUUCUACCGCGGCAUUGGCUGCACCAAACGUCACUAACUUGGUGACUAUCAAGCUUAAUUCCGUUGAAGAUUAUCUCACUUGGCGUACUCAAUUCACCUCCGUGUUGAUCUCUCAUGAACUCCUUGGCUUUGUAGAUGGCUCUACACCUCAACCAACUCAAUUUUUAUGUGAUGUCUCUGGUAACCAGCAAGUUAACCCACUCUAUCGUUCAUGGGUCAGAAUUGAUCAAAGUGUGCGAUCGUGGCUGUUUGCAACAUUGUCUCACGAGGUCCUUGUUGAUGUUCACUUGUUACCUACAUCACGUGAUAUUUGGAUAUCCUUACAAAGACGUUUUAUGGAUGCUAGUCAAGCUAAAUCAAUAGAACUUAAGCGACAACUUACUACCAUGCGCAAAUCAGAUUCCAUGACUAUUGAUGAGUAUCUCCUAGAAGCCAAGAAAAUAGCAGACUCCCUUGUGGCAAUUAACUCUCCAGUGUCUACUCAAGAUUUUAUUGACCAUGUUCUUCUUGGGUUAGGAAGAGAGUAUGACACACUAGUUGGCAUCAUUACACACUAUCCAGGCCAACUAUCUCUUGAAGAACUUCGUACCAAACUCUUGCUUCAUGAGCAACGGUUGCAACGCCUCAAAGAACUAGACCCUGUUGUCUCCCAUCAAGCCUUUGCUGCCCAGAAUGUAUCUCCUAACUCCUCUUUUGUCUCUGGUAAUCAAUCAAUAUCUCAAGGGGGUCGUGGUAGAGGUCGGUCUUACUCAUCUAAAGGAAGGGGUCGUGGAGGAAGAGGUCGAGGCUCCUUUGGUGGUCGCGGUCAAUCACAACAAGUUUCUUCACCUAAUAAUUUUUCACGCAACGGUUUUCAUGGACAGUCUUCAUCAGGUAUUGGUAGUAAGUCCCAUGUUUCAUAUCAUUCACAAUCUGCUAGUUCAACAUCACCAUCUGCAGGAGUCUUAGGAGCACAUCCUUCUUUUACCAUUUGUCAAAUUUGUGGGUCUCCCGGUCACUCUACAUU